UAGGGAAUCUUCGGCAAUGGGGGGAACCCUGACCGAGCAACGCCGCGUGAGUGAAGAAGGUUUUCGGAUCGUAAAGCUCUGUUGUUAAGGAAGAACGUGUGUGAGAGUGGAAAGUUCACACAGUGACGGUACUUAACCAGAAAGAGACGGGUAACUACGUGCCAGCAGCCGCGGUAAUAAGUAGGUUCCGAGCGUUGUCCGGCUUUAUUUGGCGUAAAACGAGAGCCAGGGNUUAAAUANUCUGAAGUGAAAGGCAGUGGCUCAACCAUUGUAGGCUUUGGAAACUGUUUAACUUGAGUGCAGAAGGGGAGAGUGGAAUUCCAUGUGUAGCGGUGAAAUGCGUAGAUAUAUGGAGGAACACCGGUGGCGAAAGCGGCUCUCUGGUCUGUAACUGACGCUGAGGCUCGAAAGCGUGGGGAGCGAACAGGAUUAGAUACCCUGGUAGUCCACGCCGUAAACGAUGAGUGCUAGGUGUUAGGUCCUUUCCGGGACUUAGUGCCGCAGCUAACGCAUUAAGCACUCCGCCUGGGGAGUACGACCGCAAGGUUG
rnacentral:rRNA from 1 species